rnacentral:rRNA from 1 species
GAUGAACGCUGGCGGCGUGCUUAACACAUGCAAGUCGAACGGGAAACCUUUUAAUGAAGCUUCGGCAGAUUUAGCUGGUUUCUAGUGGCGGACGGGUGAGUAACGCGUGGGUAACCUGCCUUAUACAGGGGGAUAACAGUCAGAAAUGACUGCUAAUACCGCAUAAGCGCACAGGACCGCAUGGUCCGGUGUGAAACACUCCGGUGGUAUAAGAUGGACCCGCGUUGGAUUAGCUUGUUGGUGGGGUAACGGCUCACCAAGGCGACGAUCCAUAGCCGGCCUGAGAGGGUGAACGGCCACAUUGGGACUGAGACACGGCCCAGACUCCUACGGGAGGCAGCAGUGGGGAAUAUUGCACAAUGGGGGAAACCCUGAUGCAGCGACGCCGCGUGAAGGAAGAAGUAUCUCGGUAUGUAAACUUCUAUCAGCAGGGAAGAUAGUGACGGUACCUGACGAAGAAGCCCUGGCUAACUACGUG